GGGUGAAAUGAUGCUUUACCAUCUUUCGGGACUGACAAUGCAAUGGAGAUGUCUUUAACUUUACUGAUCACUA